UUAAAAUCAUUGACAGGCCUGAGAGUUUUCCAUACAGCCUGCACCCUAACCUCUGGGAAGAAAAUAUCCACAAUGAAAUUUCUACAAGAUUAGAGGAAAGAGAGAGGCAACGGGGAUUCCAUUUCUACCAGGAGUAUCCACCUCUGAGAGGAAAAUAUCCAUCUCUGUGGAUGUCAUCUGCUCUGCAGAAAACCCUUUCCUGGAACUCCCAGAUCAUUGACAGGCCUGAGAGUUUUCCAUACAGCCUGCACCCUGACCUCUGGGAAGAAAAUAUCCACAACGUAAUUUCUACAAGAUUAGAGGAAGAAGAGAGGCAACGGGGAUUCCAUUUCUACUAGGAGUAUCAACCUCUGAGAGGGAUAUAUCCAUCUCUGUGGAUGUCAUCUGCUCUGCAGAAAACCCUUUCUUGGAACUCCCAGGAAACAUGAAUCUGAUGUGGACCCUCCUCCUUUUCCUCCUUUUGGACGUAACUGUCUUCACUCCAGCCCUACCCUUCUCAACACGACAUAUAGACAACCCCAGGUCGUGGGUCCCUAGAGGACACCACCGAUACUGUGAUGUGAUGAUGAGGUGCUGUUGGCUGAUCUAUAGGGGUAAAUGCGAGCCGAUCCACACAUUCAUUCAUAGAAUCUGACCACCAUAGCAGAUUUCUGCAGAACUCCACCACUGCCCUGUACCAACAUCCCCUCCAUGUGCAGCUGCCACAACAGUACUCAUGAUGUCAAUGUCACUGACUGCUUUGCCAGCACAGGGACCCGACCUCUUCACUGCCACUACCAAAAAUAAGAAGGAGUCCACCAGGCCCAUGCGAGUGGGCUGCAAGAAGGGGGCAUCUGUUCACCUGGAUGGCUAGGUUCCCCCUGACACCGCCACCUGAAUGACUUGCACCCUGCGCCUUCAAAUCUUUGCAGCACUGUCAAGGUCUUCUUUGUAAAUGCUUCGUCCUUUGCACGCAGGCUCCUGCGUCUUUCUUACAGCCUGUUCCCCAUCAACCCCAUGUGCCCUAUCCCUGCCACAGUGUCAGGGCUUUUGGUGGAGGAUAAGGCGGCAGUGGUGGGUUGGUGGGAGGAAGCCUGAAUUACGGAAAUAAUACUCGGGAAAAGACUUGCUCCAACCAAGCUGCUAGACAAUCCCCUUCUCCUGGGGCUGAUCUUCCCACCAGCUGCUCUCAAAAAACCUCCUGAUGGCUGGCCCUAGGUUUCCUGGAUCAUAGGGUCCUUCUGCCUUCUGCGGGACAUUCUAUGCCUUUCGCCUCAAUGGGCUCCUUCGGAGGGUAUUAGGGACGAUACCCUGGCGGGAAACCGCUUCCUUUAGGGAAACAAAUCACUGUGGCUCCAGGGGUGUCACCGGAAAAAGAGGAGCGUGGGCAACUCCGCCGGCCCAGAGCCUUCGUGGUCUCCCAGUUCCUGCGGCCGUCGUAUUGGUCGGCAGGGGGCGCCGCGCCACAAGCUUCCUGCACAAGAGUCCAAAACUUCUUUCUUGGUUUCUUUUGAGACAGGCUGCAGGUUUCUUGGUUGCUGACACGGGUAGACGAUAAUAGGUGAAUAAACAAAAUCCAGCCAGCAUAAAUACAGUCUAACUGUUGAAGAACAGAUUUCUGAGUCUACCAUAACUUUCAUACACUGCAGCACUUAAACGUUGAACCUGCCACCUUCAGAUUCACACUGCAGCACCUCAGGUAAGAAGGAAAGGAAGUGAAUAUGCACAGAGGACCUACUUGUGUUAUGAGCUUUACAGUUCAGCUGCGCUGGAGAAGAGUUUAUUUCUUUCAUGGAAUCCAUUACAUCACCGAUCCCCUUCUGAAGGAGGUUAUUUUAUCCACAAGAGGAAGCAUCCAAAGGUGUUCAUAUUCUCUACCCUGUGACCCCACCAAAAUGGUGACAAGGUUUUGAAGCAAAGGAGGGCACUUGACUCUAGGGCAGCCGUCCAUUAACUGACUAGCCCGGUGCCUGUGGAACAGAGUUGCGUGAGGAUUUUACCCUUUUGGAAUAAUCCAGUGACAAAACUGGAUACUAUUACUUUCAUUCCUUCCCCCGAUGCCAGGAGGUAUAGCUGUUUUGCCUUUGUUCUUGACAUUCAGCACUUAGCCUAAUGCUCGCUAUAAAAGUGCCUUCAAGAAAUCUUUAA